rnacentral:rRNA from 1 species
UGUAAAUAACUUGUUUAAAGUUUGGGGAAUAUAGAAGGGAGUUAAGAAAAAUAAUUUUAUAAAUUUUAGUAAUUUUUAAUGAAAAUUAAGUAAAGACUAGAGAGAAAAGUACUGUGAAGGAAAGUUGUUGAGAUUUUAUAUAGAAAAAGUAAAAUUUUGUGCCUCGUGUAUCAGAAAAAAUUUAUAUAAUUUAGUUAAUGGUAAGUAUCUCGAAAUAAAAUAUAGUAAUUUUUAUAAAAUUUUCUUUUUAGAAAAAAAGAAUUUAAUAUAAAAUUUAAAGUGAAAUGCUAGCUGAGUUUUAUGAUAUCUAGUUUUUUAAAAAAUAAAUUCAAUUUAAUUUUUACGAAGAAAGAAUUGUAAAAUUAAAUGGUAGGGGGGAUUAGCUCUUUACGGAAAAGUCAAUGAAAUAGGUAGAUAUAAAGAAAUUAUAUAAAUUAGGCUUAGAAGUAGCUAUAUUGAAAAAGUGUUUUAACUAAAUUAUAAUUACUUGAAUAUUUAAGAUAACUUUUGUUAGGUAUUAAAAAAACGGUUUAAACAAAAUAAAACGAAAUAUAAUGAUUUUAUUAGUAAAAUUUAUUAAGUAAAUAAAAAU